UACGUAGGGUGCAAGCGUUAAUCGGAAUUACUGGGCGUAAAGCGUGCGCAGGCGGUGAUGUAAGACAGUUGUGAAAUCCCCGGGCUCAACCUGGGAACUGCAUCUGUGACUGCAUCGCUGGAGUGCGGAAGAGGGGGAUGGAAUUCCGCGUGUAGCAGUGAAAUGCGUAGAUAUGCGGAGGAACACCGAGGGCGAAGGCAAUCCCCUGGGCCUGCACUGACGCUCAUGCACGAAAGCGUGGGGAGCAAACAGG
rnacentral:rRNA from 1 species